AUUGAACGCUAGCGGGAUGCUUUACACAUGCAAGUCGAACGGCAGCGCGGACUUCGGUCUGGCGGCGAGUGGCGAACGGGUGAGUAAUGUAUCGGAACGUGCCCAGUAGCGGGGGAUAACUACGCGAAAGCGUAGCUAAUACCGCAUACGCCCUACGGGGGAAAGCAGGGGAUCGGAAGACCUUGCACUAUUGGAGCGGCCGAUAUCGGAUUAGCUAGGUGGUGAGGGAACGGCUCACCAAGGCGACGAUCCGUAGCUGGUUUGAGCGGACGACCAGCCACACUGGGACUGAGACACGGCCCCGACUCCUACGGGAGGCAGCAGUGGGGAACUUUGGACAAUGGGGGCAACCCUGAUACAGCCAUCCCGCGUGUGAGAUGACGGCCUUCGGGUUGUAAAGCACUUUUGGCAGGAAAGAAACGUCGCGGGCUAAUACCCCGUGGAACUGACGGUACCUGCAGAAUAAGCACCGGCUAACUACGUG
rnacentral:rRNA from 1 species